rnacentral:lncRNA from 1 species
CAUAUAAAUAUGCUUGCGCAGAAGAAAGUGCUUCUGACCGACGUGAAUCUGAGAAGAAAGAUCAGAAAAAGAAACAGAAGAACGAAGCUUCGACUGAACCAAGUCAGAUAUCAACCAAUAAAGAAACUUCACCCCACUGGAGUCCAAAAUCAAAUAAUUUUAGUUACAAAUAUGACUCCUACACUCUUUUUUUUACUUCUCAUAUGC